rnacentral:rRNA from 1 species
UCAGCCAUGCCGCGUGUGUGAAGAAGGCCUUUUGGUUGUAAAGCACUUUAAGCGAGGAGGAGGCUACCGAGACUAAUACUCUUGGAUAGUGGACGUUACUCGCAGAAUAAGCACCGGCUAACUCUGUGCCAGCAGCCGCGGUAAUACAAAGGGUGCGAGCGUUAAUCGGAUUUACUGGGCGUAAAGCGUGCGUAGGCGGCUUUUUAAGUCGAGAUGUGAAAUCCCUGAGCUUAACUUAGGAAUUGCUAUUCGAUACUGGGAAGCUAGAGUAUGGGAGAGGAUGGUAGAAUUCCAGGUGUAGCGGUGAAAUGCGUAGAGAUCUGGAAGAAUACCGAUGGCAGAACGCAGCCAUCUGGCCUAAUACUGACGCUGAGGUACGAAAGCGUGGGGAGCACACAAGAUUAUAUACCCUGGUACUCCAUGCCGUACACGAUGUCUACUAACCGUUGGGGCCUUUGAGGCUUUAUUGGCGCAUCUAACGCGAUAAGUACACCGCCUGGGGAGUACGGUCGCAAGACUAACACUCAUAUGAAUUGACGGGGGCCCGCACAAGCGGUGGAGCAUGUGGUUUAAUUCUAUGCAACGCGAAGAACCUUACCUGGUCUUGACAUAGUAAGAACUUUCCAGAGAUGGAUUGGUGCCUUCGGGAACUUACAUACAGGUGCUGCAUGGCUGUCGUCAGCUCGUGUCGUGAGAUGUUGGGUUAAGUCCCGCAACGAGCGCAACCCUUUUCCUUAUUUGCCAUCGGGUUAAGCCGGGAACUUUAAAGAUACUGCCAGUGACAAACUGGAAGAAGGCGGAGACGACGUCAAGUCAUCGUGGCCCUUACGACCAGGGCUACACACGUGCUACAAUGGUCGUACAAAGGGUUGCUACCUAGCGAUCGGAUGCUAAUCUCAAAAAGCCGAUCGUACCCCGGAUUGGAUCUGCACCUCCACUCCAUGAACGCAGAAAUCCCUAGUAAUCGCGAUCAAAAUGCCGCGGAGAAUACUCCGGGUCUUGU